CGCAGUGGUUGGGGCCGUGUGCGCGCGCGCGAAGGGAAGGGUUUUAUUCUUUUUGCAAAAUUAAAACAUUAAUUAAAAAGGAGGGGGGGUCACGAGCGGAAUGGCUGUCGGCAAGCAGAAAUACAGCGUUGACCGUAGAAAGAGGGAAAGAAAAUGGAUGGUAAUAACAUCGAUUGAUGAAGGAGGUCACUGUUCAAGGCAUUAAUGGGGGGGGGGGGAAGAGAAAUCAAACAGAAGAAAAACCAGUGUGAACCGCCGCCACAAUAACAGACUGACGCCGAUCUCAAACAGCCGUCAGUUUACAGUCGCUUCCUCGGCCCUUUGCUGCAGCUGCUUACCUUUCCACGGGAGAAACACCGCCGCCAGUCUCUACGUGAGGUGACGCGCAGAUUAUCGAUGUGUUUUUGCUUCAAAUGAGUGCGCCUCAAUAUCUUCAGUCACCGGCUAGCCUCGCCCUUCACACUAUCAGGAUUUUUUAAGUGCGAGCAGCAGCGGAGGUAGGACGAACUCAGAAGACUGCUGAUAAGAAAUAAUGAGCCUGACUCCAAUGCACUAUCCCAGUGAAUCAUAACAAAAAAGUGCAGAGAUUGACAGAACAGCAAUGUAAAGAAUUUGGUCAGUCUGUGACUCCAGAAUGAACUAACUGCGUCCUGAGUAAAAUCAAAGUGUGUCAUCAAAGGAACCAUCCAAUUGAUUGAAAAAUUAGAAAUCUUCUGAAAGAUAUUUAGAAAUCAAGAGGCCAAAGGAAAGGAUGAUCUUAAAGCAUUUGCCAUCAUCAAGGGAAAAAACUGCUGGGAAAAUGAAGAGACCUUAUGGCUGACAAGAUCCCAGGAUCAGUCUGGAAUGGUGCCCUUGCAGUCAAUGUAAUGGUGAAGCAGUCUGAGAAUGGUGUCCUCACAGUCAGUAUCACAGUGUAACAGUCUGAGAAUGGUGUCCUCACAGUCAGUAUCACAGUGUAACAGUCUGGAAUGGUGUCCUCGCAGUGGGUGCCACGGUGAAGCAAUCUGGGAAUGGUGUCCUCGCAGUGGGUGCCACGGUAAAGCAGUCUGGGAAUGGUGUCCUCGCAAUCGGUGUCGUGGUGAAGCAGUCUGGGAAUGGUGUCCUCGCAGUCAGUGUCACGGUGAAGCAAUCUGGGAAUGGUGUCCUCACAGUCGGUGCCACGGUGAAGCAGUCUGGGAAUGGUGUCCUCGCAAUCGGUGUCAUGGUGAAACAGUCUGGGAAGAGCCUCCUCACAGUGCAGUUUUAUAGCAGCUCCAGAGGAGGUUUACGAGAAUGAUUGCUGGAAUUAGGGCUUGUCAUAUGAGGAGCAGUUCAAGAUUCUGGAUCUCUACUCAAUGAGUUGAGCAGGAUCUUGGCGGUUCUCACUGAAUAGAAUGGAUGUGGAGAAAAUGUU